UUAACAAUAAGAACAUUGGUUAUUCGUGUCGGAUGUGUGGCAGCCCUCAGGGGUUGUAACGGUGUUUGUAUGUAGCUACAGUACAGGCUUAGCAACCCCUAGGUACCCGAGUUAGAAGGGGUACCAGCGGGCGCCAAUAGAUGAGAAGUAAGAGAUACUACAAACAGUAUUACAGCAAUGCAGGAGUCAUACAUAUAAGACCAUGAUAAGAAUCAAUGUGAUGUAAAUUAGAUAUGUUUCUAUGGAAGCGCACAGGAAUGUGAACUUAAGGUGAAAGCCCGAUUCAGGAUGUUGAAAUGAGGCGUUCUUUUAUAUUAAGAGGAUCUUUAUGAAACUUGCAGGGCCUUAAACUGGAUAAUUGGUGAUAACAAAUAAUAUUUUUCAAUACAAAAUUGUUCGUGGAAAGCCGUGUAUAUGCAUAACAUAAGCCAUGUCAUCAACCGGGUUGCACCCUUAAAGUAGUUUAACAAUAAGUUAAACUUACAAGGAAAAUACAAUUUGCGAAAUAAAGAAGUACAAUCUUACCGGCAUACUCAACGAAGCAAAUGGUGAGCGGUGACUUGCGAAUUUUCUCUUCGAAGAGAUCCUUCUUGUUCAAGAAUAGGAUAAUUGAGGACUUGAUCAUAUUCGGACAUCGCAACGCAAAAUAUGAUCGCAGUGACGUCUUCGAAGCAGUGUAUCCAUUUCUUACGUUCACUUCUUUGGCCGCCCACGUCGAAUAAUCUGUUACAUAAACAAGCGAUUAAUUAGUAAUCAAAUACCGAAGUCUGUUGGUGUAGCUUAUGUAUAAAUUAAAAGUAUAACUAGAGUUAUAAAUGAUUCCAUACGAUGGCACGAAAUUAAUUUCUAUUCCUAAAAUUUGGAUACUUUGGAAAAAGUAAUCGAGACAUACGUAUUGUAUUUAAACAUUGAGUCUAAUUAGCAAAAGUAUAAAGUUUAUUUAGUUAAUUCAUAAUGUUUCUUCUAAAAUGAAUUCCAAACAGUACAGUACAGUACAGUACAGUGUUUAAUUUUGAGGCAACUUUAAUAUGUAACCCAUUGAAAAUAUUCAAAUAAAAGAUUGACGUCUUGAAAUCAAAUUUUACCAUCAUAUUCCACGACGUGCUAAAAUAGAAGGCACACACUUAUCUUAAAAAGUAAUCACAAA